GCUGAGCAGCUCAGCAUCUGCAAGUACGGCGAGGGAGGAUCAAGACUUCGCUCGUUGUUGGAGGGCGCCCCCAUGGUGAGGGAGAUAAGUCGCUUGACAUUGAUAGCUCACGCGACCCUCAUGUAGCAGGAGGCGGUGGUGCGACGGGAGCUUGUGUGACCGCGGCGUGUGAGAGGAGACUCCACGUGGUGCAGGGGCUAACUGGUUCUUCAUCGGCAGCGUGCAAGACUGGAAGUCGCAAGGUUUUCCCCCUUUCGAACUACUUGUUCAUGUGGUUCUCUCCUUCACUUGAGUAUCGGUGUAGCCAUGUGUGUUGCUUCCAUUGUCCGGGAGAUGAUUCAACGGGGAGGUGUGGAGAAGACGUGGGGAGAGCAAGGGGGAUUGGUACACAAGAGAAAAUUUUCACCAUCAAAUUUGUUGGGUAGUUCGGCCGUGUACUGGGAAUUGUAGAAAGGAUUGAGAGGCAAUUAUGGACACUGUGUUUGAAUCACUGGGGCAUUUUUCGUAGGCAAUAGUAGAUAGACAAUUAUGAUUAUCAGUUUGUUUCGGAAUUGUUGAAUUGGGACAUAGCAGUAUCCUGCAUCAAUUUAUCCUGAAUGUUGUCUCAAAGUUGAAUGCACUCUAGGUGUUUUUGCAGACACAUAUACUCAGUUGGCCUGCAAUGUAGUCUAGUCGCACACGCAUUCAUGUUUAGUUGGUAGGACUAGUUGCACACACAUAUGCUCAGUUGGCCUGCAAUGUAGUCUAGUUACACACACACAUUGAUGAUUAACUGACAGGAUUGGUUGCACACACAUAUUCUCAAUUGGCAUGCAAUGUAUUCUAGUUUGACAUGCAUUGAUGUUUAGUUGACAAUACUAGUUGCACACACAUAUGCUCAGUUGGCCUGCAAUGUAGUCUAGUUGCACACACAGUUUAGUUGGCAGGACUAGUUGCACACACACAUAUGCUUAGUUGGCCUGCAAUGUAGUCUAGUUGCACACACAUUGAUGUUUAGUUGGCAGGACUAGUUGCACACACAUAUGAUAAGUUGGAAUGGCAUGAGGAUGUAGAGCUAUUGUCGGGCGCUAUGAUAGGAUGCAGAGGAGGCGAUGGGAGGAUGGAAAGUUGCUGCAGCGCGUGGCGAUGACAGUGAGGAACCACACGCGGCAACAACGGUUGCUCGGGGCUGCUGCAGGAGUAAGUCAUAGUGGGUGGGCGAUGUUCCAUUUUUGUGUUUGCACGGGAUUCCGGCGAAGUGCUAGUUGUCAGGGGAUUGACUGCAUUGCAUAAGUUGUCCAAUUUUAGAUGUUUUUUAGACAGCUCCGGUGAAGUUGCACGCAGAGGAGUACAUAGUUGGCUAGUCAGGUUCUUUAGUUGCACAGGAACCUUCAGGUAGUCGACUACACUGCACAAAGCAUGUUCAGUAUGGGGUGUAUUUUUGGCACAUACAUGUAUGCUCUGUUGGCUUGCAUUACUGUCAAAUUGCACACACUGUUUUUGUAGUAGCAUACCACACGGAUGCUCAGUUGGUUUGCUUUCAUUGUUAACUGAAUAAUCAAUGAAAUUUUGGCGAUUAUAUGAUAUGCCUGCUGCCAAUGAUGAUUUUUUGCAUUUUGUUUUAUGCUACAUGAUUUGGUUCUCGUUUUUCAUGGCUAUAACUAAAUUCCUCUAGUGAUCGUUGUUAAAUUAUGUAGAAGUUGCAUACCAGAGGUUGUUUAUGGGUAAUUCACACAAGCCAUUGCCAAUAUUUCAAUUUCUUUUUCGAAUUUUUCUGUACAUGAUUUUGUAUCAGUAGUAGGCUUGCAUAACUAGUGCUUGAAACAGCAGGGCAUCUGUAAGAGAGAGGCAUGACAUCCAAUUUCAGUUUCCGCAGUUUAUCCAAUUUGGUCAUUUUGUAGUACUAGUGGCCAUUGUAGCAUCCCUACCUGGUUAAGAGUAUGAGGAAGUUGCACAAUACGGCCAUACUUAGUUGGCAGUUUAAUUAUCUUGUUUUUUCAUAGUCACAUUUUUUGUUGGCAUCUCUAGCAGUUGUAGUUGCACAUGAACCUCAUAGUAGUUGGCUCCAUAUAUCAUGCAAGUUUCUUUCAUACACGAAACUGAUUCAAGUUGGCACCCCUACAGUUCGUAGUUGCACAUGAACCUUAAGUAGUUGGCAUCCAUAUAAGGCAUAGUUGCACAUGAACCUGAUAUCAGUUGUCAUCUUUUAAAAUUCACUAUUUCAAUUAGACAGACCUAAAAAAUUUCUUUUCUUAAUUAUUUCAAUUAGAGGUGUGUGUAAGUAAUUUUCCCCAUCCAACCAAUGUCAUGGAAUAGCAAUCUAAUCGCCACAGUCAUUAAGAUGGACUUGAAGGGGCAUGGUGUGUUUGUCAAGCUACAAGAGCUGGAUGGAUGAGCUUCUAACAAACAAUUUUUGCACAGAGGAAGUGAUCACCAAUAAGCAAUCUCCUACUUUGUCCUUUUAAGUUUUUUAGCCAUUGUUUGCCUUUUGAACUAAAAUAUUACUGUAUUAUAGAUAUAUCUAGUAGACUAGGUGCAACAAACUAGAACAUAUGGCCUAUAUAUGUUACAUUUUCUUCUUUUUUACAGCAGGAUGCUCAUUGGUUUCCUCUGUGUGUGUGUGUGUGUUGCACAAUAUGAAACAAAAGUUGGCUGGGUUA